UACGGAGGAUGCGAGCGUUAUCCGGAUUUAUUGGGUUUAAAGGGUGCGUAGGCGGCCGAGUAAGUCAGCGGUGAAAUUUUGCAGCUUAACUGUAAAAGUGCCGUUGAUACUGUGAGGCUAGGAUUUGGUUGCUGUGGGUGGAAUGUGUGGUGUAGCGGUGAAAUGCUUAGAGAUCACACAGAAUAUCGAUUGCGAAGGCAGCUCACAAAGCCAAGAUUGACGCUGAGGCACGAAAGUGUGGGGAUCAAACAGGA
rnacentral:rRNA from 1 species